AGUAUUUUAAUUUGCCAUUAAUAAAUAUGAAAUAAACAUGUUUCAAAGAAAGUUAUCAAAACAAAUAUAAAAAUGAGAAGCAGUGAUGGCUUGUUCAACAGAUGCAGAUGUAGAGACAUCCUAA